GAAGAACGACUCGGCGAGUCGAGUUGUGGGUCCCCGAUUUUUCCCUUUUGAGUGAUGCCGAGUGGGGACCAGUGAGUAGUAGAGUAGACUCAGCGAGUCGGAGGUCAGACUCAGUAAUGCAGGGACUUGGCGAGUUGUUCAUACAACUCGGCGAUUCCAAGGCAAUCUUCUUAGCUCGAAGAACAACUCGUCGAGUUGUUCAUACGACUCGGCGAGUCGGAUGCAGAUUGCCUGAGUUUUAGAUUCGAAAGGGAACUCGUCGAGUUGAUGCCAUACUCGACGAGUAGCAGUGAGUAGGGUUGAGAAGUGAGAAUAGGGACUCGGCGAGUUGGCGGCCCAACUCGGCGAGUCAGGUCAACUGUAGGUUGACUUUGACCAGGAGAGUUGACUUUGACCAAGGGUAAAAGAGUCAUUUUACCCCAGUGCAGUGAUUAGCAUUUGAUUGAGUGUGUUAUGGAUUUGUAGCCGGGGAGAUACCGGAGCAGCAGCAGUUAGCUUCCAGAGCCAUACACACAGCAGCCAGUUCACGGGGUGAGUUUCCUUCCAGUAGGAAUGGGUGUACGGCCACAAUGCCAACCCGUUUAGUUAGUAACAGUUUCGGACUUCAGUCCGAAGCAGUAGUUUAGUAUGCUUGAUGUCUAUGNNNNNNNNNNNNNNNNNNNNNNNNNNNNNNNNNNNNNNNNNNNNNNNNNNNNNNNNNNNNNNNNNNNNNNNNNNNNNNNNNNNNNNNNNNNNNNNNNNNNUUUCCGGUGUAAGUUCCCUAGGUCCAGUUGCCCUGAACUCCUUAAGCAUCCGGAUGAGCCUGCUGUCAGAGGGAACAGCGCCAUACAUUGUCUCCGGAAUAGAGCCAAUGAAAGAGAACUUGGAUGCAUCAGAGACGAUGAUCUUCGUGGUAUGAAACAUACCGAUCUAAGACAUCGAUGCACCAGCAGCAGUUGGGACAUCAAGUUUGUCCAUCGCCCAUUUGGUGAUAAGAAUCCAGAACCGGGCAUACGACACCUCAGAAUGUCGUGAUGAAGAAGAAAGGCUCUGGAUGAGCUGUUGCCAGAGGACCAACCCAAACUCAAGAUUGACUCCGUGGUAGAUAGCAUACAUAAUCGACAAGAACAGUCGAAUAGAACCAUCGGAUCCUGAGCUCCGUUCAGAUAAGCCCUUGAAGAGGACUGUAAACAUGCCGUUCCACUGUGGCGGCAAGCAGGAUUUCUUGAACUUCGCGACGGAGGUUAGCGCCUCCGUGUACCCCAUUUUAUAAAACAUGUUGUAAAGAUACCCAAUCGGAAUUGUCUCCGGAUUGAUUCUUGUAGGAUCAGCAGCCAACCCUAGCAGUAUGCAGAAACGUUGUCGAGAAAUGGAGGUCUUGUGAUCAGCAACCUCGAAGAAUACCCACUCGACUGCUUUGUCAUAAUGUGCAGUCGCAUACACUUGCGAUAGAAUCUCCAUGGGCACAGACUCAACCCUGGAAAGAGCUGGAGCGAUUUGUGAGCACUUCAGGCACUCGAUGAUCGGCGACAUAUAAGAGUCGUACGCCAGAGGGUUAAGGUCGAUCACCAAGCAUUGGUGAGGACGAAUGGGUAGUAUGUGUGAGGUAGCAUGGACUGAGGAUGAUUCCGCCAUUGUUGAAAGUAGGAAGAAGAAGAUGAACAGUAAAGCUUUUGGGAGUUUUUGCUCUCUUGUAAAUUUUGAGGCAGUAAAGAGGUAAAUGGAAGUAUUGACUGCCUUUUAUAGUGGGUGAAAGGAGAGAGAAAAAUCGUUUCAAAUCUUCUAUGGAAAUACGAAAAGGUUUCCGGAAUGAUAGAUGCGUGAUAGUUAAGGCAUGCGAUGAUCACGUAGGAGAGAGAGUGUCAGAUUCCUAGGAUCACGCCGCCCAACAAGCGCCGUUUCAGAACAUACCGUUUCAAAUCCUCACGCGCCUUUAAGUGCCAGAGAGGUGUCGCUUGAAAUUCGCACACGCGUCCAUGAUGGCAGUAAAAGUAUGGGCGUUCCACAUUCACACGCGUUCCCUUUUUACCGUCGUUUGAAAUUCAAUCCUUUUAACCCCCGCCUGAGUCAGCAACCCUUCGUCUUAUCUUCGAAAUGGCAUCUUUUGAAUUAAUUNGACCACAGCUUAAUAAUUAACCACCAAAGUAAUAAUACAGCCUGUAAUUAUUAGUAACAGAAUUUUGGAAAAUCANNNNNNNNNNNNNNNNNNNNNNNNNNNNNNNNNNNNNNNNNNNNNNNNNNNNNNNNNNNNNNNNNNNNNNNNNNNNNNNNNNNNNNNNNNNNNNNNNNNNCCCGUUCCUUGGCGGUGAAAACAUGACCUUUGAUUCGGUCUACUUCAGUCCGUUUCAGGUUCGAAGUGACGAUGAGGACGAUGCUCCAGUGACGAAGAAGCAUCUUAAGGAGCUAAACGAGAAGGUUGACUUACUUCUUGCUUCAUCUUCCAACAACUAGUCCUCUCUCUCUGAAGCCGCUCUUCAGAAGAUUGUUGAUGCCUUCUCCAGGGCUCAACAUGAUUCUGUAGCUUCAGCCAUAGCCGCCAUAGACGCCUCUACAAAAGCCUGUGAGGCUGCGACCGCAAAAGUCGAUAAACUAUUCUCAGACGCCUCUUCCCUGUUGAAGUCCUUACAGGAGAGCGCUGAUGCCACCAAGACAACUUUGGAACCAAUCGUUCAGCAAUUGGCCAAGUUCGUCUCAACGGAGUUACAGUCAUUCGCUACACUUCGCCAAUCAAUCAGCGAUGACAACUCGGCCCUUCGUGCCUCCACUGACGAGCGCCUCGCUAAGAUACAAGAGGAUCUUGCGGCUGAAAAUUCGUUAAUGGACGUUCUGGCAAGCAAAACCACCGCCCUUAAGGUCAAGAGCACUCAGCUUUCAAACUCUCAACAACAGCUUAAAGCUCUUCGAUCCGAACGGGAGGUUAUAAAAACUUGUGUUUCGGAUGUACACGCUGCCCUAUCUAACAUCCUGGAAGCACACGAUCCGAUUCUCAAUCAUUCGGUGAGGCGAACCCUUGCUGAAAAACUUGCUCCUGCCCUGGACCUUCUCAGCAAAAUUGAGGGCUUACCUAGUUUCGUGNAUCCGAAACAAGGGGGAGAAGGGAAGAAGUCCGGAUCGAAACCACCUCCUUCCUCAACAGCUACUCACACAACCGAACCACCUCCGACUGGUCAAGCUUCGGGUUCGGGUGUGAAGGAGAAAGGGAAGAACAUAGCUGAGGAAGAAGAUGAAGAUGAAAAAACCAAUGCUGACAUGUUGAAGCGCAAAAACAGUCGCAAUGUCGAUGAUGACUACNNNNNNNNNNNNNNNNNNNNNNNNNNNNNNNNNNNNNNNNNNNNNNNNNNNNNNNNNNNNNNNNNNNNNNNNNNNNNNNNNNNNNNNNNNNNNNNNNNNNACUGACCAAGAAGUCGGUGGUAUUUCGUUGGGGGCCUGAGCAGUACACAACGUUCGAGACCCUCAGACAGAGAUUGUGCGAGGCCCCGAUCCUUACCUUGCCAGAGGGAGUAGAGGACUUCGUAGUCUACUGUGAUGCCUCGAUCACAGGUAUGGGAGCAGUAUUGAUGCAGCGNNNNNNNNNNNNNNNNNNNNNNNNNNNNNNNNAGUUGAAGCCUCACGAGGCUAACUAUCCUACCCAUGAUUUAGAGCUGGGGGCGGUUGUGUUUGCCCUCAAGAUUUGGAGACAUUAUCUUUAUGGGGUCCGUUGUACUAUCUACACGGAUCACAAGAGUUUGAGGUACCUUAUGGAUCAGCCGAGUCUGAACAUGAGGCAUAGGAGAUGGUUGGAUGUGCUGAAGGAUUAUGACUGUGAGAUCCUUUACCAUCCAGGAAAGGCCAACAUGGUGGCCGACGCCCUAAGCCGCAAAGUGUCGGUAGCCCCUAUCAGAGACUUGUGUUUGAGGAUAACAGUGAUCACUCCAUUGUUGGAGCGGAUCAAGGAGGCUCGGGUUGAGGGCCUCAAGGAGGAGAGACAAAAGUGUGAGAGGAUAGUGGGCCGAGUAGCUUCAUUUGAUUAUGACAGUCGAGGAUUGCUGACGCUUCACGAGAGGGUAUGGGUACCGUACUGGGGUGGAGUACGGCAGGUAUUGAUGGACGAGGCUCAUAAGUCUCGAUUUUCUAUCCACCCAGGGGCAACGAAGAUGUAUAGAGAUCUUCGACCCGAUUAUUGGUGGCCCUGCAUGAAGCGGGAUGUCGCCUGGUAUGUUGAGAGAUGCCUGACCUGCAGGAAGGUCAAGGCGGAGCACCAGAGGCCUCACGGCAAGAUGCAGCCGUUAGACAUUCCCGUGUGGAAAUGGGAGGACAUCACCAUGGAUUUUGUCACCAAGCUUCCCAGGACCGCACGAGGAGUAGAUUCGAUAUGGGUAGUAGUGGAUCGGUUGACGAAGAGUGCUCAUUUUAUCCCGAUCCAGGAGAGUAUAUCGGCAGAAAAGUUAGCCGAUAUCUAUGUGCGUGAGAUCGUGGCACGUCAUGGAGUGCCGGUAUCGGUGGUGUCAGACCGAGAUGUCCGUUUUACAUCCAGAUUCUGGAAGCGGUUUCACGACGAGAUGGGUACUCGUCUCCAUUUCAGCACCGCUUUCCACCCUCAGACGGACGGGCAGAGCGAGAGGACGAUUCAGACUCUCGAGGACAUGCUCAGGGCAUGUGUUCUAGACUUCGGUGGCAGUUGGGAUACGUAUCUUCCGUUAGCGGAAUUUUCGUAUAACAACAGUUAUCAUGCGAGCAUUGAUCGACCUCCCUUUGAGAUGCUUUAUGGGAGGAAGUGUAGGACCCCGAUUUGUUGGGGCGAGGUCGGUCAGCGAGUCAUUGGGAGCACAGAGGUGGUGCUCAAGACGACCGAGUUGAUUCAGCAGGUCCGUAGUAGACUGCAGACUGCGCAGAGUCGGCAGAAGAGCUACGCCGACAGGAGGCGUUCAGACUUGGAGUUCCGGGUGGGCGAUAUGGUCCUUCUGAAGGUCUCACCCUGGAAGGGUGUCAUCAGGUUUCGGAAGAGGGGCAAGCUGGGUCCCAGGUUCAUUGGUCCUUUCAGGGUUUUGGCCCGAGUGGGUCGGGUUGCUUAUCGGUUGGAUCUUCCUGAAGAGCUUAGCCAGAUCCACAACACUUUCCAUGUGUCUCAGUUGAGGAAGUGUUUGGUGGAUGAGUCAGCAGUCGUUCCCCUAGAGGAUAUUCAGGUUGAUAGUAGCCUGAAUUAUAUUGAGAGGCCGGUCGCGAUUCUGGACCGGAAGACCAAGACCUUGAGGAACAAGGAAAUUCAGUUAGUGAAGGUGCAGUGGCAACACCGGAAGGGGUCUGAGUGGACGUGGGAGGCUGAGGAGGAGAUGAGAGAGCACUACCCGGAGUUAUUUGCAGAUUCAGCCGUAGCAGACUUCGAGGACGAAGUCUGAGACAAGUGGGGGAGAAUUGUAACGACCCGUCUCUGGUAUGUUGCUUCCAUGGCAUUUAAUUAGAAGUUUUCAAGAGGGACUCGGCGAGUCUAUAGCCCGACUCGUCGAGUAGGGACGGGAUUUCGUGCACGUGUUAGUCGGCGACUCGGCGAGUCCAUAUUCGGGACUCGGCGAGUCUGCCUGCCUGGAAGAAACCCUAAAUCCCCGGGUUGCUCACUAUUUAAACCACCUUAUAGCCCCAAUCUCGCCUCCUUCACCCUCAGAGAGCUGUGAGAAAACCCUAAUCCAUCCUUGAGUGAUUUAAGUGUUCUUGUGUGAAAUUUUGAAGGCUUGAAGAGGAAGAAGAAGAAAGGAACAAGGAGAAGAGGUGUAGAGCAAAGAUCCAAGGGCAAAAUCAGAGUUCAUUGAGGUAUUCUUCAGAUUCCGUCUGUUUUAUGCUUUAAACCUCCAAUAGAACACUUCUAGGGCUAGAUUGACGUAUUUUCCAACUCUAUAGUUAUAUGAAUGCCUUAAUAGGUCGAGAUAUCCUUAGAUCUGUUCAUUUAGGAGUUGUAGAGCCCGGAUCUAUUGCCUUUUUGGAGAUACUUUGCAUGAGAACUCUAGAUCUAGCCUUUAUUAUGCUUUUUGAGCCAUUUUAUCUUCAUGGAUGCAUAUGGGCACGUAAAGAUAGAAUCUUUACGUGCUAAUCGAGUUAAGGGAGCCCAGAUCUAUAAGUUUUAUACACUGGAUUCAAGCAGAAUCGAGUUUAGAGUUGCUACAUGCAAGUGACUCGGCGAAUCGGAAGAACGACUCGGCGAGUCGAGUCGUGAGUUCCUGAUUUUCCCUUUUGAGUGAUGCCGAGUAGGGACCAGUGAGUGGUAGAGUGGACUCAACGAGUUUGAGGUCAGACUCAGUAAUGGAGGGACUCGGCGAGUUGUUCAUACAACUCGGCGAGUCCAAGGCAAUCUUCUUAGCUCGAAGAACAACUCGUCGAGUUGUUCAUAUGACUCGGCGAGUCGGAUGCAGAUUGCCUAAGUUUUUNGACUUGGCGAGUUGUUCAUACAACUCGGCGAUUCCAAGGCAAUCUUCUUAGCUCGAAGAACAACUCGUCGAGUUGUUCAUACGACUCGACGAGUCGGAUGCAGAUUGCCUGAGUUUUAGUUUCGAAAGGGAACUCGUCGAGUUGAUGCCAUACUCGACGAGUAGCAGCGAGUAGGGUUGAGAAGUGAGAAUAGGGACUCGGCGAGUUGGCAGCCCAACUCGGCGAGUCAGGUCAACUGUAGGUUGACUUUGACCCGAAGAGUUGACUUUGACCAAGGGUAAAAGAGUCAUUUUACCCCAGUGCAGUGAUUAGCAUUGAUUGAGUGUGUUUAUGGACUUGUAGCCUGGGAGAUACCGGAGCAGCAGCAGAUGGCUUCCAGAGCCAUACACACAGCAGCCAGUUCACGAGGUGAGUUUCCUUCCAGUAGGAAUGGGUCUAUGGCCACAAUGCCGGCCCGUUUAGUUAGUAGCAGUUCUGGACUUCAGUCCGAAGCAGUAGUUCAGUAUGCUUGAUGCCUAUGUGAUUCAAGCACGUUUGUGUGUUAUAUGUUCCGGACUACGGUCUGAUGCAGUAUGCAGUAUAUGUGUUUAUGUUAGUUGAUAUGUGUUAUGCCAUGCUAUGAUCAGUAGUUCCAGACUUCGGUCCGAUGCAGUCAUUUCCGGACUUCGGUCCGAUGUAGUCAGUUCCGUACUUCGGUCCGAUGCAGUCAGUUUCGGACUUAGGUCCGAUGCAGUCAAUUCCAGACUUC
rnacentral:lncRNA from 1 species